UACGUAGGGUGCGAGCGUUAAUCGGAUUUACUGGGCGUAAAGCGCGCGCAGGCGGCACUGUAAGUAAGGUGUGAAAUCUCCCUGCUCAACGGGGAGGGUGCACUUUAGACUGCAGAGCUAGAGGACGGUAGAGGGGGGUGGAAUUGCUGGUGUAGCGGUGAAAUGCGUAGAGAUCAGCAGGAACACCCGUGGCGAAGGCGGCCCCCUGGGCCGAACCUGACGCUGAGGCGCGAAGGCUAGGGGAGCGAACGGG
rnacentral:rRNA from 1 species